rnacentral:rRNA from 2 species
GAGUGGCGAACUGGUUGAGUAACACGUGGGUAACCUGCCCCGAAGCGGGGGAUAACAUUUGGAAACAAGUGCUAAUACCGCAUAAUUAGUUGGAACCGCAUGGUUCCAACUUGAAAGAUGGCUCUGCUAUCACUUUGGGAUGGACCCGCGCCGUAUUAGUUAGUUGGUGAGAUAAAAGCCCACCAAGACGAUGAUACGUAGCCGACCUGAGAGGGUAAUCGGCCACAUUGGGACUGAGACACGGCCCAGACUCCUACGGGAGGCAGCAGUAGGGAAUCUUCCACAAUGGACGAAAGUCUGAUGGAGCAACGCCGCGUGAGUGAUGAAGGUUUUCGGAUCGUAAAACUCUGUUGUUAAAGAAGAACAAGUGUUAGAGUAACUGUUAACACUUUGACGGUAUUUAACCAGAAAGCCACGGCUAACUACGUGCCAGCAGCCGCGGUAAUACGUAGGUGGCAAGCGUUGUCCGGAUUUAUUGGGCGUAAAGCGAGCGCAGGCGGUUUUGUAAGUCUGCUGUGAAAGCCCUCAGCUCAACUGAGGAAGUGCAGUGGAAACUACAAAACUUGAGUACAGAAGAGGAAAGUGGAACUCCAUGUGUAGCGGUGAAAUGCGUA